CACAUGCUCCCUCCGACCCAAAAUUCUUGUCUUAGAUUUGUCUAAAUACGGAUGUAUCAAGUCACGUUUUAGUAUUAGAUACAUCCGUAUCUAUCUAAGACAAGAAUUUUGGGACGGAUGGAGUAUUUU
rfam:Triticum urartu cultivar G1812 contig474003, whole genome shotgun sequence.